UUACGACCAUAUCACGUUGAAAUAGCGGGUCUUGUACGAUCACAAAAGUUAAGCAACGUCGAGUUUGGUCAGUACUUAGAUGUGUGACCGCUUGGGGAUAUCAGGUGCUGUAAG